rnacentral:lncRNA from 1 species
CCCUAAACCCCAAAGCCAGACUACACAAAUUGCAUCUAACAGCUUCUAGUUUCUCUGAUCUGCACUCAGCAUGAAAUUCAAUAUUCUUAACAUUAUAAAUUGUUUUGAACAUUCGUUAUCAUCUAACAUUUUCAUCUUACCUAUUUUUGCUACUUUCAGAGGACCAAAUUACAACAGAACAAACAAACAAAAGAACUCGAACUGCAGAAAUCUUACCUAUUUUUGCUACUUUCAGAGGACCAAAAGAACUCAAUGAUCUUACCUAUUUUUGCUACUCAGUUCAGGCACUUAAACAAACAAACAUUGGAAGAAAUCUCAUUUGCGGUUUUGGAGAUUAGAAAAGGACUCGAAAAUUACAACAGAACAAACAGAAAUCGAAGAUUAGCAGAGAAGAGAGAAAAACUUCGAACGGCAUGCUUUUCUUAAGCCUAACCAACAACAGAAAACACAUUUCAAUUCAACAUGCAAUACAAACAGAAUAAAAUUGGCUAAAACUAACCUAUUAGCAAAUCGGGGCACAAUGAAGAAGAACCUGAAAAAAGCAAAAAGGGAAACCGAUUAGAUAAAAACAAUAGAUCAUAUUUACCUCGAAAGUAUUGGUUUUCAUCUACAAUAGCAAAGUAUAUUAAUCUAUCGGGAAACAUAGACUAACCGAUGACGCAAAUCGGCAGAAACUGUGAGCAAAUCGACCGAAAUAGAAAAGAAAAUAAUCGGGGGAGCAAAUCGGCAGAAAAGGGAAGAAAAUAAAUACUGGGAAAAAGCAAUGAAACAAGGAAGCAAUUCGGAUGAAGGUGGGAAACGGAAGAGAAACAGAGGGGAUCGAUUAGGGGUAAAAGAGGGAAGGUUUAGGGUAAGGUCAUCUAAUCUGGAAAGAAGGGGAAUAGAAAUCGGUGCUUUUCACCGAUUAGGGAAGUAAGGGGAUACACGCGUAUUAGCAAUACGCUCAACCAAACGGCGUCUUAGAUUGGUAUUAGGUGGGCCCCACCGAUUAGGGGUGUAUUGGCUAAGCCAAUACACCAAACCAAACAAGCUCUAACAGUCGGCAGCAGAUCGACGCCACCAUUGUCCCACGUCGCAGCAACUAUCUCCAUGCACGAACGCACAGCAACUGCCCACGUCGCGCACGCCUCUUCCAAUACCCACCUACAACAAAAUCAAAUCACGAACCACAUCACAACGGAUUUUUUUUUAUUGUUGUUUUGGGGUAUUAAAAAGGGAUUUGUAAAACCGAUUUGGGGGUAGGAAAUUUGUAUUACAAAAAACCCAUCGAAAAUACAAAGACAAAAAAGCAAAAAUUUUGUAUGAAAAUUAACAGGAAAAUAAACGAAAAAACAUUUUUGAAGGUGGGAUUUUGUCUUCUUUCUCAGUUCUUUUACUGUUGUUUUUUAAUUUACCUUGUUCUUUUCUUUUGCUUCUUUUUUUAAAAAAAAAACAACAAAGAUAAACGAAAAAGGAGAAAGAAAGGAGGACUUACCGUCGUGAGAGUCGUCGGAGGGCGUCCUCGCUUCGUCGAAGUCUGAAACGGCAGAGGGGGGGCUGAGUCUGCUGUUGUGUUUUCAAACAAAAAGAAAACUGACGUAGUUUUGUUUUAAAACAA